UGGGGAAUUUUGGACAAUGGGCGAAAGCCUGAUCCAGCAAUGCCGCGUGUGUGAAGAAGGCCUUCGGGUUGUAAAGCACUUUUGUCCGGAAAGAAAUCCUUGGCUCUAAUACAGUCGGGGGAUGACGGUACCGGAAGAAUAAGCACCGGCUAACUACGUGCCAGCAGCCGCGGUAAUACGUAGGGUGCAAGCGUUAAUCGGAAUUACUGGGCGUAAAGCGUGCGCAGGCGGUUUGCUAAGACCGAUGUGAAAUCCCCGGGCUCAACCUGGGAACUGCAUUGGUGACUGGCAGGCUAGAGUAUGGCAGAGGGGGGUAGAAUUCCACGUGUAGCAGUGAAAUGCGUAGAGAUGUGGAGGAAUACCGAUGGCGAAGGCAGCCCCUGGGCCAAUACUGACGCUCAUGCACGAAAGCGUGGGGAGCAAACAGGAUUAGAUACCCUGGUAGUCCACGCCCUAAACGAUGUCAACUAGUUGUUGGGGAUUCAUUUCCUUAGUAACGUAGCUAACGCGUGAAGUUGACCGCCUGGGGAGUA
rnacentral:rRNA from 1 species